rnacentral:lncRNA from 1 species
UCUCAAACCCCCCUGCGUCUCGACUCAGAGGUUAGAUCUCCAUGGCGUGUUGCUUCCACCAUUCUAACAAUAAUCGUUGCAACAACUCCGUUAUGGAUGUCUAUGGGAUUAUAAGAAUCGAUCUGAUUGUUAUCGUCACAAACCCUCCUUCAUAAACAGAUUUGCCUCCUCUCUCUCUCUCUCUCUGUUUCUCCCGAAUUCCCGGGAAACUCGAGAUCGUACCUGCUCCGGAGCAUUGCUACUGUGAAUCAACACGGGAAAUAUACUCCGCUUGGAACGCCUCCAUUUGACUGUGAAGGAUUCUUGUAGCACAACCGGUAACCAUUGACAACCGUACGAAUCUUAACUCUUAAUGAUUUCGCAGCUGAGGAUAAGGGACUUCAAUCUGUAUCCAGUCAUUUUGCAAAGAUUUUGAACUAAGAGAAAUUUUUGCAGCAAUCAUAGGUUAAACUACUCAUAUUAAAUUGGAAUCUGGUCUUUGUGGAGGCUGGUUGACAAAGAAGCAGUGAAGCCCUGGACAAACAAAAGCAUAACCGCAGUUCAGGUAACUUGGAGCACCAAUGGAACCGAACACGCCAAUGACAAAACUAAGGAAGGCGGAAAAUGGGAAGAACUCAUGACACCCACAACAAAACACAUGUAAACAAUGACUUAGAAGUAUCAUAUCAUCUUCAUCUUGGUUGUUUUUGUUAGUUUGUGUUUUAGAACUCGCAAGUCAUAGAUCUUUACAUUUUUUAUUUUAUUUUUUCACAUGUAUUGUUCUAUCUAAGCACAUUUCCUCCAUAUAUUGUGAGUUCAUAGAAAUUUGUAAAUUUUUUUGGUAUGAUU